rnacentral:sRNA from 1 species
UAGCGAUGGAAGCGGCAUCCUUUUUCGAAGCGCAGCGGAGAAAAAGAUAGAGCGGACAGCGCGACGGCGG